UAUGGAGAGUAAUUCAAUAAAAAACUAUGAAUCUCGUCAGGUCCGGAAGGAAGCAGCGAUAAGUAGCAAAUUUUUAUGUGGGUUGCUUUCCAUAGAG
rnacentral:SRP_RNA from 1 species